CAACUUUGCACACUGGGGGAAACUGUCCCUCUUGUAGCCAUCUCACUCACUGAGUAACCUUAUUCUGACAAUCCCACUGAAACUAACUUUUCAGAGAGGGAAUGAGAAAUUGGUUAUCAGCACUAUCUAGCAAGCGUUUAAAUCACUGAGUCAAUUCCCUGCCGUUCUGGCCCGUUUCAUUCAUCCUCUUCUCAUGGGUACUUCAGAACCUCCUAAACUAUGCAGAAAUGUUCAUGAGCAGACUGUGUAGGCAUGUCUUUUUACUGUGCAUGUGUGUGUGUGUGUGUGUGUGUGUGUGUGCUGCUGACUGCUGACUUUUAGACUUUAUCUUAUAGUAGAAGAGGUCAUAAUAAUGUGCUCCUUGGUUUUUGAUACCAACAGUAUUCCUUACAGACAUGCAGACUUACACCUCUGUGUGUUUGGUCCAGCUGUGUGUAUGUGUGUAAGCCUAUCUGGCAAAUCUCUCAGCCUCACAUACCUAUGUAUGUAGCUGGUGAGGAGACAUAGAAUUCAAGGAACUAAAAUAACACUUAUAUUAGCUGCUCUAUUGUUUUCCUUGGUGUGGUUUCUUGUAAGCUGCAGGCACACUAGUUGAAUAAAGUUCAAAAGCUCAAAAAAGAUACUAUAGAAUUUGUUUCCCCCCUUCUGGUAGCGGUAAGACGACCCCGCUUCCUUUUACAGUAGCGGAUAGUCGAGUAUCGGUGGAUAAACAGCAACACAAUAUACAGUCGAAGUGUUUUCUUUACCGGUUGUUGAACGACGUUUCACCGUUUCUCGUCUGUCAAAAAGUCAAACAGAAGUGUUUCUGAUCUUUACUAUUUUUCACAUUACGGUUAGGUUAAUAAGCUAUUUAUCCGUGUUUACAGCAGGGACGUGCGAGCAGGGGAGGCCUCACCUGUCAUCAUGUAAGGAAAUAAUGAAGAAGACUGCCUGCUUCUUCCAGGAAGGAUGAAGGUGACAUUCAGGAAGAGUCAAUCACGCCAUCUACAGCAGGACCCUUUUGAUGAAACCAAAAUCCUCACAUUUAAGGAGCUGGAACCAGAGAAUGUUUGCUUGUUUAUGACUUGUUUAUGAAUACACUGUACUGUAUAUUCACUGUAAAUUCAAUUUACUGUUCAUUUGUUUAAUAUAUUAUUUAUUUAGGUAUGUUCAGAAUUCAGCUUGUUUUUCUAUAAUAUAUCUUGAAAGUAUUA